rnacentral:rRNA from 1 species
CUCCUACGGGAGGCAGCAGUAGGGAAUAUUGGACAAUGGGGGAAACCCUGUAUCCAGCAACGCCGCGUGAGGGAAGAAGGUCUUCGGAUUGUAAACUUAUGUUGUCGGGGACGAAGAAAGACGGUACCCGACGAGGAAGCCCCGGGCUAACUACGUGCCAGCAGCCGCGGUAAUACGUAGGGGGCGAGCGUUGUCCGGAAUUACUGGGCGUAAAGGGCGCGUAGGCGGCCAAUUAAGUUAGAUGUGAAAUCCCCGGGCUUAACCUGGGUGUUGCAUUUAAAACUGAUAGGCUUGAGUGCAGGAGAGGGAAGCGGAAUUCCUAGUGUAGCGGUGGAAUGCGUAGAUAUUAGGAGGAACACCAGUGGCGAAGGCGGCUUUCUGGACUGUAACUGACGCUGAGGCGCGAGAGCGUGGGGAGCAAACAGGAUUAGAUACCCUGGUAGUCCACGCCGUAAACGAUGGAUACUAGGUGUAGAGGGUAUCGACCCCCUCUGUGCCGGAGCAAACGCAAUAAGUAUCCCGCCUGGGGAGUACGGCCGCAAGGUUGAAACUCAAAGGAAUUGACGGGGGCCCGCACAAGCAGCGGAGCAUGUGGUUUAAUUCGAAGCAACGCGAAGAACCUUACCAAGGCUUGACAUCCCCUGACGUAUGUAGAGAUACAUAUUUCCUUCGGGACAGGGAGACAGGUGGUGCAUGGUUGUCGUCAGCUCGUGUCGUGAGAUGUUGGGUUAAGUCCCGCAACGAGCGCAACCCUUGUAUACAGUUACCAGUAUUAAGUUAGGGACUCUGUAUAGACUGCCGUGGAUAACACGGAGGAAGGUGGGGACGACGUCAAAUCGUCAUGCCCCUUAUGUCUUGGGCUACACACGUGCUACAAUGGCCGCAACAGAGGGCAGCGAAGUGGCAACAUGGAGCGAAUCUCAAAAAAGCGGUCUCAGUUCAGAUUGUGGGCUGCAACCCGCCCACAUGAAGACGGAGUUGCUAGUAAUCGCGGAUCAGCAUGCCGCGGUGAAUGCGUUCCCGGGCCUUGUACACACUGC